GACGAACGCUGGCGGCGUGCUGUACACAUGCAAGUCGAACGGAGCGGCGGACGGGUGAGUAAUGCAUAGGAACCUGCCUGGUAGUGGGGGAUAACGUCAGGAAACGGGCGCUAAUACCGCAUACUAUCAGAUGAGCCGAGGUCGGAUGAGCUAGUUGGUGGGGUAAAGGCCGACCAAGGCGACGAUCCGUAACUGGUCUGAGAGGAUGAUCAGUCAAACUGGAACUUGUAGACGGUCCAGAGUACUACGGGAGGCAGCAGUGGGGAAGAGUGGACAAGGGGCGAAAGCUUGAUCCAGCGAUGCCGAGUGGGUGAAGAAGGUCGUCGGAUUGUAAAGCACUUUAAGUUGGGAGGCGUUACCAACAGAAUAGGCACCGGCUAACUUCGUGCCAGCCGCCGCGGUAAUAC
rnacentral:rRNA from 1 species